rnacentral:rRNA from 1 species
GAUGAACGCUGGCGGCGUGCCUAAUACAUGCAAGUCGAGCGAACAGACGAGGAGCUUGCUCCUCUGACGUUAGCAGCGGACGGGUGAGUAACACGUGGAUAACCUACCUAUAAGACUGGGAUAACUUCGGGAAACCGGAGCUAAUACCGGAUAAUAUAUUGAACCGCAUGGUUCAAUAGUGAAAGACGGUUUUGCUGUCACUUAUAGAUGGAUCCGCGCCGCAUUAGCUAGUUGGUAAGGUAACGGCUUACCAAGGCGACGAUGCGUAGCCGACCUGAGAGGGUGAUCGGCCACACGGGAACUGAGACACGGUCCAGACUCCUACGGGAGGCAGCAGUAGGGAAUCUUCCGCAAUGGGCGAAAGCCUGACGGAGCAACGCCGCGUGAGUGAUGAAGGUCUUCGGAUCGUAAAACUCUGUUAUUAGGGAAGAACAAAUGUGUAAGUAACUAUGCACGUCUUGACGGUACCUAAUCAGAAAGCCACGGCUAACUACGUG